rnacentral:rRNA from 1 species
UCAGGACGAACGCUGGCGGCGUGCCUAAUACAUGCAAGUCGAACGGUCUUUCUAUGGAAGCUUGCUUCCACUGAGAAGAUAGUGGCGAACGGGUGAGUAACACGUGGGUAACCUGCCCAUAAGAGGGGGAUAACAUCCGGAAACGGGUGCUAAUACCGCAUAGUUUUCUUGAUCGCAUGAUUGAGAAAGGAAAGACGGCCUUUGUGCUGUCGCUUAUGGAUGGACCCGCGGCGUAUUAGUUAGUUGGUGAGGUAACGGCUCACCAAGACGAUGAUACGUAGCCGACCUGAGAGGGUGAUCGGCCACAUUGGGACUGAGACACGGCCCAAACUCCUACGGGAGGCAGCAGUAGGGAAUCUUCCGCAAUGGACGAAAGUCUGACGGAGCAACGCCGCGUGAGUGAAGAAAAGGUUUUCGGAUCGUAAAACUCUGUUGUCAGAGAAGAACAAGUUGGGGAGUAACUGCUCCAGCCUUGACGGUAUCUGACCAGAAAGCCACGGCUAACUACGUGCCAGCAGCGGC